rnacentral:rRNA from 1 species
UACGUAGGGUGCAAGCGUUGUCCGGAAUUAUUGGGCGUAAAGAGCUCGUAGGUGGUUUGUCGCGUCUGCCGUGAAAGCCCGGGGCUUAACUCCGGGUCUGCGGUGGAUACGGGCAGACUAGAGGCAGGUAGGGGAGAACGGAAUUCCCGGUGUAGCGGUGAAAUGCGCAGAUAUCGGAAGGAACGCCGGUGGCGAAAGCGACGUGCUGGACCUCUUCUGACGCUGAGGCGCGAAAGCCAGGGGAGCAAACGGG